rnacentral:rRNA from 1 species
CCCAGACUCCUACGGGAGGCAGCAGUGGGGAAUAUUGCACAAUGGGGGAAACCCUGAUGCAGCGACGCCGCGUGAGCGAUGAAGUAUUUCGGUAUGUAAAGCUCUAUCAGCAGGGAAGAAAAUGACGGUACCUGACUAAGAAGCCCCGGCUAACUACGUGCCAGCAGCCGCGGUAAUACGGAGGAUGCGAGCGUUAUCCGAUUUUAUUGGGUUUAAAGGGUGCGCAGGCGGCACGGCAAGCGGGCGGUGAAAUCGGGGGGCUCAACCCGGCCCAGCCGUCGGAACUGCCGGGCUAGAGUGGGCGAGAAGUGCGCGGAAUGCGUGGUGUAGCGGUGAAAUGCAUAGAUAUCACGCAGAACUCCGAUUGCGAAGGCAGCGCACCGGCGCCCUACUGACGCUCAGGCACGAAAGCGUGGGUAUCGAACAGGAUUAGAUACCCUUGUA